CCGAGUUUACAACUCCCAAACCCACUGUGAACCUUACCUAUCGUUGCUUCGGCGGGCUAGCCCUGGCGCCUCCCCGGCACCAGAUAUCAGGCGCCCGCCGGGGGUCCGAAACUCUUGCUUUAUUAGUGGUUUUCUCUCCGAGUGGCACAAGCAAAAUGAAUCA
rnacentral:misc_RNA from 1 species